CCUCCAUCUUGGCAGUUCUCUCUUGUUCUGGUAAAACAGAGCCUGGAGAUGGUGUAGUGCUUAUGGAGGGAGAGCAAUCCAGUUGGUCAAGCCUUCGGUGCCUGUUCCAUAAAAUGAGCAGGUCCCAUCCUCUAAUUGACCAGACAAGU